CCGCCUCUUGUUGAACAUAAAUAAAGGAUGGUAUGCCUUUUCUUAAGUAAGAAGUUUAUACGUUUUAGGAAAUUUAUCCUGUGAACAUUGUUCAAUCAUUUUCACUUAAACAUUAUUGGGUUUGGGCUGAUAUAACAAUGUGUAUGUACUAUGCAGUAUGCACUUAGUGUGCCAAAGUGUAUUACUAUUCUCUGAUGUGGUGAUGUAAUGGUGCAUGAUUUGGAUAAAUCAAUUCAUAGUUGUGUUCUGGUGUUAUCUCUUAUUAUCAUAUACUUUAUACUGUACUUGUCCUUGCCCUCAUGGCUAUUGCCUUCUCCUACUUUCUCUGUUUUUUUAAAUGCAUUAAGCUGAUAUGUCAUUGGUUUAAAGUUACUCGGUUUCUUGGGGUAAUUUUCUUUGGGUGUGCUUGCAGGGCUAGUGCAGAUGAUACUAUUAUGGAGGGUGACAAAAACAGGUAAUCUUUCUUACACACCUUGAAACUAUGAAUAUAUUGUUUCAAAUAAAUGUAUUCAGUAACUCAUAUGCUUUUUGAAAUGUUUGAUAAACAACAGAUGGAUGUUGCCUGGCGGGACACACAGAAAUACUGAUGGAAACAGGUAUUCUUCCUGACACACGUUAAUAUUAUGUAUCUAUACAUUGUUUAAAAUAGAUUUCUUCAUUGACUUGAACUUUUUUGCUCAUGACAGAUGGCCGUUGCCUAAGCCACGUCUUGUUGGUGUUAGAGAUGUCUGCCUGUACCCGAUGUUAUGUUCUAGUACUAGGGAUCAGACCAUCAGAUUCGGCAGUACAGCCUCAAGCGGGAUUGCUUCCUUAAAAAGUGUGACCCAUUAGUUAGUUUGGGAAAAAAAAUUAUAUGAGACCAGGUCUUUGUGAUUUGUAAAUGCCACGUGUCAUCCAUCAGGAUGGGUCUCGCGUGAGACCUGCUCUCGCGUUGCACUAAAUGCAAUCAAUUUGUUUCCUACCAACUACUAAUAAUCAGGGCAUAUCAAAUUGAUUGGGCGCAAUGCUGUGUGUUUUGCUUGUGACUUUCUUCCAUACCAUUUGUUUUCAAUCACUAUUUCGGGUCUGUAUUGUACACGUGAGCCUAUGAAGUCUUUCCAUGGGGAAUGCACUUUGCUUUCAUCUAUUUUUUUGGCUUCCAUCUAGUUAGAAUUUGUUUGGUAAUGGAGAUUCCUUCCGUAAUGUUAGAAUUUGUUUGCUUCAAUCAGCCAAACAAAUUGCAUCCAUGGUAACUGACGACCGCUUCUAUCAAGUUGAUCGUAUUUGUGUCUACUACGCAAACAAAAACAUGCUUCAAGCGACUAGAAAAUUAUUUCGAGUGUGCCAUAAAAGAGCACUUAGCAUGUUUAAAAUUUGUUUCUGAAAGCAAUGCUUUAAAAAGAUUAGAAUUUUCUUCUGGGGCAAUUACUUCCAUCUAGUUGAUAUUUGUGCAUUGAUCGAUCACGCAAAGUGCUUACAUGGCAAUCGGCGGCCCAUGAAUAUUGCUUCCGUUGUAACCAAAGAUUGAUUCGAUUUAGAGUAUGAUAGUUACAACAGGUCAUAAGUUGGGACUUUGCUUCCAAAGAAUUAUGUUUUUAGGUCCAAAGAAAUUGGAAACUUGCUUCCAAAGAAUUUUGAACCUGCAUCUUUAAAAAAAAAA
rnacentral:lncRNA from 1 species